rnacentral:rRNA from 1 species
AUUGAACGCUGGCGGCAUGCCUUACACAUGCAAGUCGAACGGCAGCACGGGUGCUUGCACCUGGUGGCGAGUGGCGAACGGGUGAGUAAUACAUCGGAACAUGUCCUGUAGUGGGGGAUAGCCCGGCGAAAGCCGGAUUAAUACCGCAUACGAUCCACGGAUGAAAGCGGGGGACCUUCGGGCCUCGCGCUAUAGGGUUGGCCGAUGGCUGAUUAGCUAGUUGGUGGGGUAAAGGCCUACCAAGGCGACGAUCAGUAGCUGGUCUGAGAGGACGACCAGCCACACUGGGACUGAGACACGGCCCAGACUCCUACGGGAGGCAGCAGUGGGGAAUUUUGGACAAUGGGCGAAAGCCUGAUCCAGCAAUGCUGCGUGUGUGAAGAAGGCCUUCGGGUUGUAAAGCACUUUUGUCCGGAAAGAAAUCCUUGGCUCUAAUACAGUCGGGGGAUGACGGUACCGGAAGAAUAAGCACCGGCUAACUACGUG